UACGUAGGGGGCUAGCGUUGUCCGGAUUUAUUGGGCGUAAAGAGCUCGUAGGCGGCCGUUCGCGUCGGAUGUGAAAGCUCAGGGCUCAACCCUGAGACGCCAUUCGAUACGGGACGGCUAGAGGUAGGUAGGGGAAAGUGGAAUUCCUGGUGUAGCGGUGAAAUGCGCAGAUAUCAGGAGGAACACCGGUGGCGAAGGCGGCUUUCUGGGCCUUACCUGACGCUGAGGAGCGAAAGCUGGGGGAGCGAACAGG
rnacentral:rRNA from 1 species